rnacentral:rRNA from 1 species
GAUCGAACGGCGUAGCUACAGGCCUAACACAUGCAAGUCGAGGGGCAGUCGGAGGGAAGCUUGCUUCCCUUGCCGGCGACCGGCGCACGGGUGAGUAACGCGUAUCGAACCUGCCCCAUACCCGGGGAUAGCCUUGCGAAAGUAAGAUUAAUACCCGAUGGCUUCCUUUUGUCUCCUGAUAGAGGGAAUAAAGAAUUUCGGUAUGGGAUGGCAAUGCGUCCGAUUAGCUAGUUGGCGGGGUAACAGCCCACCAAGGCGACGAUCGGUAGGGGUUCUGAGAGGAAGGUCCCCCACAUUGGAACUGAGACACGGUCCAA